rnacentral:rRNA from 1 species
CUCUGUGACUCCUACGGGAGGCAGCAGUGGGGAAUAUUGCACAAUGGGCGCAAGCCUGAUGCAGCCAUGCCGCGUGUAUGAAGAAGGCCUUACGGGUUGUAAAGUACUUUCAGCAGUGAGGAAGGCGGAGUCGUUAAUAGCGGCCUCGUUUGACGUUUAGCUGCAGAAGAAGCACCGGCUAACUCCGUGCCAGCAGCCGCGGUAAUACGGAGGGUGCGAGCGUUAAUCGGAAUUACUGGGCGUAAAGCGCAUGCAGGUGGUUUGUUAAGUCAGAUGUGAAAGCCCGGGGCUCAACCUCGGAAUUGCAUUUGAAACUGGCAGACUAGAGUACUGUAGAGGGGGUAGAAUUUCAGGUGUAGCGGUGAAAUGCGUAGGGAUCUGAAGGAAUACCGGUGGCGAAGGCGGCCCCCUGGACAGAUACUGACACUCAGAUGCGAAAGCGUGGGGAGCAAACAGGAUUAGAUACCCUGGUAG